rnacentral:rRNA from 1 species
CCUACGGGUGGCAGCAGUCGAGAAUCAUUCACAAUGGGGGAAACCCUGAUGGUGCGACGCCGCGUGGGGGAAUGAAGGUCUUCGGAUUGUAAACCCCUGUCAUGUGGGAGCAAAUUAAAAAGAUAGUACCACAAGAGGAAGAGACGGCUAACUCUGUGCCAGCAGCCGCGGUAAUACAGAGGUCUCAAGCGUUGUUCGGAAUCACUGGGCGUAAAGCGUGCGUAGGCUGUUUCGUAAGGCGUGUGUGAAAGGCGCGGGCUCAACCCGCGGACGGCACAUGAUACUGCGAGACUAGAGUAAGGGAGGGGGAACCGGAAUGCUCGGUGUAGCAGUGAAAUGCGUAGAUAUCGAGAGGAACACUCGUGGCGAAGGCGGGUUCCUGGACAUUAACUGACGCUGAGGCACGAAGGCCAGGGGAGCGAAAGGGAUUAGAUACCCGUGUAGCC